CGGGACGGGGUGAGUAAUGUCUGGGAAACUGCCUGAUGAGGGGGAUAACUACUGGAAACGGUAGCUAAUACCGCAUAACGUCGCAAGACCAAAGAGGGGGACCUUCGGGCCUCUUGCCAUCGGAUGUGCCCAGAUGGGAUUAGCUAGUAGGUGGGGUAACGGCUCACCUAGGCGACGAUCCCUAGCUGGUCUGAGAGGAUGACCAGCCACACUGGAACUGAGACACGGUCCAG
rnacentral:rRNA from 1 species